rnacentral:rRNA from 1 species
UACGGAGGGUGCAAGCGUUAUCCGGAUUCACUGGGUUUAAAGGGUGCGUAGGUGGGCGAGUAAGUCAGUGGUGAAAUCUCCGGGCUUAACCCGGAAACUGCCAUUGAUACUAUUUGUCUUGAAUGUUGUGGAGGUAAGCGGAAUAUGUCAUGUAGCGGUGAAAUGCUUAGAUAUGACAUAGAACACCGAUAGCGUAGGCAGCUUACUACACAAAUAUUGACACUGAGGCACGAAAGCGUGGGGAUCAAACAGG